AGAGCGGCCGUUCCAGAACAUCCUGUGCCUUAAAAGCCAUAAAAGGCUUAAGUAUGGAGCGGUGAUGCUGGGAGCCCGCACGCACACGCGGCUGCCGCUCCGAGGAGGAGAGCAGAUGGGGAAACACCCUCCUCCGUGACCGUCCUACAUCUUCCAGAGGGGGAACAGCAGCGCCGCUGGAUUUAUGGGGAUUUUUUUUCCCCCCUCCCACGCAGCGUUCCCAGCCCCGGCUGCUCCCGGCGCCGCUCGCAUCCCUGGAGGCGCUCGGAAGGGGAUGCUCGGAGGGCACCGGGCAUUUUUGGGGUGAAGUCGCGGCGGGUUCGUGGCCAUGCUCCGCCCGGACUCGGUUUCCCCGGAGCUGAUCGGGCUCUGCAUGAGCUUCUGAGGCAGGUCUGGAUCUGUGGGAUUAGUGGAGAUGGAAUGAAAGCAUAACCCACCCCCC
rnacentral:lncRNA from 1 species